rnacentral:rRNA from 1 species
CGUCUAUAUACGUAUAGCAUAUCAAUAAGCGGAGGAAAAGAAACUAACUAGGAUUCCCUUAGUGACGGCGAGUGAAGCGGGAAGAGCUCAAAUUUGAAAUCUUCAAGGGUUCUACCUUUACGAAUUGUAGUUUAAAGAAGUGUUUUCUGUUAGAUGAGUAGCUAAAAGUUCCUUGGAAUAGGGACAUCAUAGAGGGUGAGAAUCCCGUAUUUGGUUAUUCAUUCUAGCUGUGUGAUACACUUUCAACGAGUCGGAUUGUUUGGGAAUGCAGUCCAAAAUGGGUGGUAAAUUUCAUCUAAAGCUAAAUAUUGGCGAGAGACCGAUAGCGAACAAGUACCGUGAGGGAAAGAUGAAAAGAACUUUGAAAAGAGAGUUAAACAGUACGUGAAAUUGUCAAAAGGGAAGCGUUUGACACCAGUGUUGUUUUCUCGAAAAUCAAUUAAGAAUGCUGUAUUUUGUGUUGAGUAUUGACUUUAUCAGGCUUUCUGCACUCUUUCUAUGUAACUUUUUAAUGCACUUUUCGGUUAACAAGUCAACAUCAAUUUCUUUUGUUGUAAAAGGGUCAUUGAGGAAGGUGGCUUUCUUUUCGGAGAAAGUGUUUAUAGCCUAUUGCCUCUACAAUCGGAGAGAUUGAGGUCUGCAGCGUAGAUCCUUCGGGGUUAGAUACACUUUGUGCUAAGUUAGUAGCCUUUCAUAGACAACUUGUUGACUAUGAUCAGUCAUGUAGCUUACUCGCUUAGUGCUAUUUUACCUACGCUUAGGAUGUUGACUGAUAUGUAGUCGUA